GGACGUAGCUCAGCUGGUAGAGCGCCGGUUUGUGGUACCGGUGGUCGCGGGUUCAAGUCCCGUCGUUCGCCCCA
rnacentral:tRNA from 1 species